GGAAGUUCUUGGGUGACACACCCCAGAAUUGGGCUCCCUCCUCUCUGGUUCUGGGUGCGUCACCUGAGAACCGCA
rfam:Myotis lucifugus cont2.14278, whole genome shotgun sequence.